UCAGCCUCCCUCCAUUAGAGAAGUGUAGAACAUGUUAUGAAAGUGUUUCUUUCUCCUCUUUUUUGCGACACCGCACCAUAUCUCAUGCGCGUAACGAUGAAACCGGCUAUGCACAAACUACAGCAGCAGUAGCUGUGAUCAAUUAUCGUUUUUCGAUUUCGAUCGAGUUAGGGUUUCUGCUUCAAAUGGAUAAUUACGGUUUUCACGAUGGUAAUAUCUGUAAUAUGUUGGAGAGCAGACAUCGCCCUGAUGUUAAUCACAGUUUACAGAUGCAUUCCUCACUGAUUCGGAGACUCUCCCAAGAAAGAGAAUUGGAGGGGCAUCAGGGUUGUGUCAAUUCGAUAGCCUGGAAUUCUAAAGGUUCGCUCUUGAUUUCUGGAUCAGAUGACACACGGAUGAAUAUUUGGAACUACGCUGGUCGAAAGCUUUUGCAUUCUAUUGAUACUGGGCAUUCUGCAAAUAUAUUCUGCACUAAAUUUGUUCCUGAAACAUCUGAUGAGCUUGUGGUUGCUGGAGCCGGAGAUGCAGAAGUUCGCUUGUUUAAUUUGUCUCGCUUGAGUGGAAGGAGUCCUGAUGAUAAUUCUAUUUCUCCAUCAGCACUGUAUCAGUGUCAUACAAGAAGAGUGAAAAAAUUAGCUGUUGAAGUUGGAAACCCCAACGUUGUCUGGAGUGCAAGUGAAGAUGGAACACUUAGACAGCAUGAUUUUCGGGAGGGUUCUUCAUGCCCUCCAGCAGGAUCUUCCCAUGAAUGUCGCAAUAUUCUGCUUGACUUGCGGUCUGGAGCAAAGAGGUCAUUAGCAGAUCCACCUAAGCAAACUCUUGCUCUGAGAUCUUGUGAUAUCAGUACCAGUCGGCCUCAUUUGCUCCUGGUUGGUGGGAGUGAUGCCUUUGCUCGAUUAUAUGAUAGACGGAUGCUGCCUCCACUGACUUCCUGUAGGAAAAGGAUGUCCCCGCCACGUUGUGUUAACUAUUUCUGCCCAAUGCACCUUUCUGAGCGUGGACGUUCAAGCUUGCACCUUACUCAUGUUACAUUUAGUCCAAAUGGGGAUGAGGUUCUCCUAAGUUAUAGCGGAGAGCAUGUAUACCUAAUGAAUGCCAAUCACAGUGGAGGCACUGCUGUGCGAUAUACUAUUGGAGAUACUUCAAAAUUGAUGACCUUCGCCCCUACACUCAAUGGGCUAGAGCUGCAACCACUACCAUCUUGUGUGCUCAAACGUCAGAAUUAUUCCAAAACCAGUGGUUCUUCCAUACUUGAGAAGUGUAGAAAGUUGGUUCAAAUUGCUGAAAAAUUCUUAGAGGAAGGGACAUGUUAUUUCUAUGGAAUUGAAGCCUGCAAUGAAGUUCUGGAUGGCCAUGGUCGUGUUAUUGGCCCAACGCUUAGGCAUGAAUGUCUCUGCAUUCGUGCAGCCUUGUUGCUUAAGAGGAAAUGGAAAAACGAUGUUCACAUGGCCAUAAGAGAUUGUUAUAAUGCUCGCAGAAUUGACAGUUCGUCCUUCAGAGCCCUCUAUUAUAUGUCUGAAGCUUUGUCACGGCUGGGAAAACAUAAGGAAGCUCUAGAAUUCUCCAUUGCUGCCCAAUGUUCAGCACCAGGAAAUACUGAAGUAGCAGUAUUGAUGGAGGAUAUACGAAAGAAUCUUGCUACAGCUGAAGCUGGAAAAAGUAGUAAGGACAAUGACGGGGCAACAAGGUCUGAAACCCGAAAUGGACGAGCAUUGUCAUUGAGUGAUAUACUCUAUCACUCUGAGGCAAAUAGUGAUGCUUCACAUGAUGGUCCAGGGUCUGAUAGAGAAGAUUCUGACUAUGAUGAGGAGCUGGAGUUGGACUUCGAAACAUCAGUAUCAGGUGAUGAAGGGCGUGAUGUUGAACCAAACAUUCUUCAUGGUAGUUUGAAUCUCAGGAUACAUAGGAGAGGUGAUUCAGCUAGAGAUUCGAGCUGUACAAAUGGUUCAUGUGGGUCACCUUCAUCAUCACAAAAUGAUCGAACACCUUAUCAGCUGGAGACUGUCAUUGAUAUGAAGCAGAGAUAUGUUGGCCACUGUAAUGUUGGGACUGAUAUAAAACAGGCCAGUUUUCUUGGGCAAAGAGGUGAUUAUGUGGCCAGUGGAAGUGAUGAUGGUAGAUGGUUUAUUUGGGAAAAGCACACUGGUAGAUUGAUAAAAAUGCUUCUUGGAGAUGAGGCUGUUGUGAACUGCAUCCAGUGUCACCCAUUUGAUUGUGUUGUGGCAACCAGUGGUAUUGAUAACACCAUAAAGAUUUGGACUCCAAGUGCUUCAGUCCCAUCGAUUGUGGCUGGGGGAGCAGCAGGACCUGAAACUUCUAAUGUGUUAGAAGCCAUGGAAAGCAACCAGCGAAGAUUAUGCCAUAAUCGUGAAGCAAUCCUUUGCAGCCCCUUUGAGCUUCUAGAACGGUUUCGGAUGCAUGAAUUCACUGAAGGAACUUUGCACCCUUUUGAGUGUGCUCAGAGCUAAUCGGGGCCUUUUCGCACUUAAGCCUCCAGUUAAGUAUCUGCAUGCACACAUGAGGAUUUAUGUGCUGACGAGUGAUGAUACAAGCGGAGUGUUGUUUUUUCGUUGAGCAAGGAGAUAAAGGGAGGCUGCAACAUAAUUGGUGGUAGGAAAUUAGUUGGCCAUGUAAAGCCUUUUGUCCGAUAUCUUAAUAAAGUGUCGCCAGUGUUAAAUUAUAUCUAGUGCUGUACUGUUGCUAUAAAGGUGAUUACUUCUGGCUCAUGUAAUUAUUUCAAGAUGUUUCUGUUUAUUGCUGUAUUUAGUUAAAACAAUUCCUGCACAGAUGACAAUUUUUUCCA